rnacentral:lncRNA from 1 species
AGCCUUCUUUUCUCGCCUUUUGAAGUCCUUUUGCUCCUUCAUGCUUGCCUCUAAUCCAGAUGCCUCUUCCUCCUCACAUACUAUCUCCCAAAGAUCCAAUGACGCCAAAAGUAGCUCCAUUUUGGCCUUCAAGUGGUGAAAGUUGUCACCUCUAAACUUUUCUACCAUUCUUAAGCUAUCACUCUCAAAAGAUGCCAUCUCAAGCUACAAGUAGGUCCUAAAAUCUCUUGAUUUGGAGUUGUAAUGCAAAAGAUAUGACUACUCAAAGAUUGCUGAACUACAAACUCAGAAUUCGCUGUUUUGCAACUUUUUGCAUACUUUGAGUCCAAAUCACGUCUAAAUGGUGGAAAAUGCUAUUUCAUGUAAU